UACGUAGGGUGCAAGCGUUGUCCGGAAUUAUUGGGCGUAAAGAGCUCGUAGGCGGUCUGUCGCGUCGGAUGUGAAAAUCCAGGGCUCAACCCUGGACCUGCAUUCGAUACGGGCAGACUAGAGUUCGGUAGGGGAGACUGGAAUUCCUGGUGUAGCGGUGAAAUGCGCAGAUAUCAGGAGGAACACCAAUGGCGAAGGCAGCUCGCUGGGACGUGACUGACGCUGAGACGCGAAAGCGUGGGGAGCGAACCGG
rnacentral:rRNA from 1 species